UUUUAUGCUUGUCGGCAAGGAAACUAUAAUGCUUCCCGUUCGCUCAGCAAUAUUCAAGCUUGAUACCGGCGGAUUAGUAGUUGCGUGGGUGACCAGCAGCGAAUUCCUGCUGUUGUAUGUU
rnacentral:rRNA from 1 species